rnacentral:rRNA from 1 species
CAGCCGCCGCGGUAAUACGGAGGGAGCUAGCGUUGUUCGGAAUUACUGGGCGUAAAGCGCACGUAGGCGGCUUUGUAAGUUAGAGGUGAAAGCCUGGAGCUCAACUCCAGAAUUGCCUUUAAGACUGCAUCGCUUGAAUCCGGGAGAGGUGAGUGGAAUUCCGAGUGUAGAGGUGAAAUUCGUAGAUAUUCGGAAGAACACCAGUGGCGAAGGCGGCUCACUGGACCGGCAUUGACGCUGAGGUGCGAAAGCGUGGGGAGCAAACAGGAUUAGAUACCCCGGUAGUCCCUGUCUCUUAUAC